GCGGAUAUGGUGGAAUUGGUAGACAUAUCAGAUUUAGGUUCUGAUGACUAAAUGUCGUGGGGGUUCAAGUCCCUCUAUCCGUACAA
rnacentral:tRNA from 1 species